CCAAGAGUUUGCUCCAGGCUGCUCAGGCUGAGAACCAUUUAUUAAGCUCGUAAAGCCGGGAAAGUCACAGAGUCUGGCCUGAAAGGCUAGGAAAGAGUCCAUUUUCUGAGCUUUCGGCUUGAUGAAGAUUUCUAGGAUUGGGAAGAGUAGAGAGAUCCAACAGCAGCGUGUGGUCAGAGGGAUGGCUCCCACUUGCAGGUUUGGAACAUAAAAACUCCUACAUGAUCCUCCAUACCCUUUCUUCUCUGGCCUACUGGCCAGAUGCAAAUGACCAGCAAAGGACCUCUGAAAUAGAAGAAUCCAGAAUACUUGAAGAACCAUACAGAAUGUUCUCCACUUAACAGGAUAUCCACUUUGGACCUAUUCAAGCAAAUCUCACACAAGGAUCUCAAUUCACAGAUCUUAAACUGGAACCUGGUGGCAAAGACAUUGGAAAUGUGAUUUUCAGGCCUUCAGCUCCUGCACUACAGGAAAGAACAAAGAAGGGUAUGGAAAUGGUUCCAAGAUGUCAAUAGACUAUCCACACAGAGGAUGCAUUUUUGUUUUCUUUAUGUAAGUUUUAUUUUGGAAAUGAGAAAUGGAAAACUCUCUACGUUAGAAUCCUAUA